CGUAGGUGCAAGCGUUAAUCGGAAUUACUGGGCGUAAAGCGUGCGCAGGCGGUUUUGUAAGACAGGCGUGAAAUCCCCGGGCUCAACCUGGGAAUGGCGCUUGUGACUGCAAAGCUGGAGUGCGGCAGAGGGGGAUGGAAUUCCGCGUGUAGCAGUGAAAUGCGUAGAUAUGCGGAGGAACACCGAUGGCGAAGGCAAUCCCCUGGGCCUGCACUGACGCUCAUGCACGAAAGCGUGGGGAGCAAACAGGAUUAGAUACCCUGGUAGUCCACGCCCUAAACGAUGUCUACUGGUUGUUGGGUCUCUUCUGACUCAGUAACGAAGCUAACGCGUGAAGUUGACCGCCUGGGGAGUACGGCCGCAAGGUUG
rnacentral:rRNA from 1 species